GACCUACUCCCUCCGUCCGAAAAUACUUGUCAUCAAAAUGGAUAAAAAAAGAUGUAUCUAGAACUAAAAUACAUCUAGAUACAUCCCCUUUUAUCCAUUUUGAUGACAAGUAUUUCCGGACGGAGGGAGUAUAAA
rnacentral:pre_miRNA from 1 species